GUGAUGUUGAACUUGAGCAGCUGGACGGCCAGACUCUCACAGAACCCCUCUAUGGCAAAUUUUGAAGCAGAGUAAACGUCAUUAAACGCCACACCUGUGAAGAGCAACACGAGUCACAUCUCAGAUCAUUGGUUUCCAUCAACAUGAAGAGCUCUUCUACAGUGUCUAUCUGAUCAAUAUUAUCAAUAAUCCUCAAGUAGAGGCCCAUCGCACUGCUGAUGACGAUGAUGUGUCCGGAGCGUCUCCUCUUCAUGUCAGGCAUCACCUCUUUAAUCAUGCGAACCGCACCAAAGAAAUUAGUCUGGAACACCUUCAUCAUGUCAUCCAUACUGAGAGCCUCA